rnacentral:tRNA from 1 species
CAGGACAUAAUUUAUUUAGAAUGCUGGCUUUGGGGGUCAGUAGAGAAGGUUUAACUCCUUUUGUCUUGA